AGAGUUUGAUCCUGGCUCAGGAUGAACGCUAGCUACAGGCUUAACACAUGCAAGUCGAGGGGCAGCAUGUUGGUUGCUUGCAACCAAUGAUGGCGACCGGCGCACGGGUGAGUAACGCGUAUCCAACCUGCCCUUUACUCCGGGAUAGUCUCCUGAAAGGGAGUUUAAUACCGGAUGUGUUUGUUUUUCCGCAUGGGAGCGACAAAUAAAGAUUAAUUGGUAAAGGAUGGGGAUGCGUCCCAUUAGCUUGUUGGCGGGGUAACGGCCCACCAAGGGCAACGGAUGGGUAGGGGUUCUGAGAGGAAGGUCCCCCACAUUGGAACUGAGACACGGUCCAAACUCCUACGGGAGGCA
rnacentral:rRNA from 1 species